AUUGAACGCUGGCGGCAUGCUUUACACAUGCAAGUCGAACGGGCUUGGGGGCUUGCUCCUAAGUUAGUGGCGAACGGGUGAGUAAUGCAUCGGAACGUACCGUGUAGUGGGGGAUAACCCGGCGAAAGUCGGAUUAAUACCGCAUACGAUCUAAGGAUGAAAGCAGGGGAUCGCAAGACCUUGCGCUAUACGAGCGGCCGAUGUCGGAUUAGCUAGUUGGUAGGGUAAAGGCCUACCAAGGCAACGAUCCGUAGCGGGUCUGAGAGGAUGAUCCGCCACACUGGGACUGAGACACGGCCCAGACUCCUACGGGAGGCAGCAGUGGGGAAUUUUGGACAAUGGGCGAAAGCCUGAUCCAGCCAUGCCGCGUGAGUGAAGAAGGCCUUCGGGUUGUAAAGCUCUUUUGUCCGGGAGCAAAUCCUGUUCACUAAUACUGAGCGGGGCUGAGAGUACCGGAAGAAUAAGCACCGGCUAACUACGUGCCAGCCGCCGCUGUAACAC
rnacentral:rRNA from 1 species